rnacentral:rRNA from 1 species
UACGGGGGGGGCAAGCGUUGUUCGGAAUUACUGGGCGUAAAGGGCUCGUAGGCGGCCAACUAAGUCGGAUGUGAAAUCCCCAAGCUUAACUUGGGAACUGCAUCCGAUACUGGAUGGCUUGAAUCCGGGAGAGUGAUGCAGAAUUCCAGGUGUAGCGGUGAAAUGCGUAGAUAUCUGGAGGAAUACCGGUGGCGAAGGCGGCAUCCUGGACCGGCAUUGACGCUGAGGAGCGAAAGCUAGGGGAGCAAACGGG